rnacentral:rRNA from 1 species
AUACGUAGGUGGCAAGCGUUGUCCGGAAUUACUGGGUGUAAAGGGCGUGUAGGCGGGGAUGCAAGUCAGAUGUGAAAUUCCGGGGCUCAACUCCGGAGCUGCAUCUGAAACUGUAUCUCUUGAGUGUUGGAGAGGAAAGUGGAAUUCCUAGUGUAGCGGUGAAAUGCGUAGAGAUUAGGAGGAACACCAGUGGCGAAGGCGGCUUUCUGGACAAUAACUGACGCUGAGGCGCGAAAGCGUGGGGAGCAAACAGGAUUAGAUACCCUGGUAGUCCACGCCGUAAACGAUGGAUACUAGGUGUAGGAGGUAUCGACCCCUUCUGUGCUGGAGUUAACACAAUAAGUAUCCCACCUGGGGAGUACGGCCGCAAGGUUGAA